UGAGGAAUAUUGCGCAAUGGGCGAAAGCCUGACGCAGCGACGCCGCGUGGAGGAUGAAGGUCUUCGGAUUGUAAACUUCUGUUAAGUGGGAAGAAAGGGCUGCUUUUAAUAGAAGCAGUUAAUGACGGUACCAUUAAAGAAAGCACCGGCUAAACUCGUGCCAGCAGCCGCGGUAAUACGAGUGGUGCAAGCGUUAUUCGGAAUAAUUGGGCGUACAGGGUGUGUAGGCGGUAUGUUAAGUCUGUUGUUAAAGACUCCGGCCUAACCGGAGACAGGCAGCGGAAACUGGCGUACUAGAGGGUGGAAGAGAGAAGUGGAAUUCUCGGUGUAGCGGUAAAAUGCGUAGAUAUCGAGAGGAACACCGAUGGCGAAGGCAGCUUCUUGGUCCAUACCUGACGCUGAAACACGAAAGCGUGGGGAGCAAACAGG
rnacentral:rRNA from 1 species